rnacentral:lncRNA from 1 species
CACAAGUCCGAAAAUGGAUGAAAAAGCCAGAAGACGACCGACAGACCGAACUGUACCUAAGCAGAGAAUCGAACUCAGACCGGCAUCAUACAGAGCUUGCUCGAUGAUGAGCUCUCUCUGCUUCGGCACCGACACAUCCUUCAGUCGGUGAAAGUCCUCUCGGUCUCCUACCUCCACCCGACUGUUUUCGUUCGGCUGAGUUCGAGGGUCGCCCC